UACGUAGGGGGCAAGCGUUGUCCGGAAUCAUUGGGCGUAAAGCGCGCGUAGGCGGCCCGGUAAGUCCGUUGUGAAAGUCAAAGGCUCAACCUUUGAAUGCCGAUGGAUACUGCCGGGCUAGAGUCCGGAAGAGGCGAGUGGAAUUCCUGGUGUAGCGGUGGAAUGCGCAGAUAUCAGGAGGAACACCGAUAGCGAAGGCAGCUUACUACAUGGAGAUUGACGCUGAGGCACGAAAGCGUGGGGAGCAAACAGG
rnacentral:rRNA from 1 species